rnacentral:rRNA from 1 species
UACAGAGGGUGCAAGCGUUGUUCGGAUUUACUGGGCGUAAAGGGCGCGUAGGCGGCGCAACAAGUCACUUGUGAAAUCUCCGGGCUUAACCCGGAGCGGCCAAGUGAUACUGUCGUGCUAGAGUGCGGAAGGGGCUACUGGAAUUCUCGGUGUAGCGGUGAAAUGCGUAGAUAUCGAGAGGAACCCCUGCGGCGAAGGCGGGUAGCUGGGCCGACACUGACGCUGAGGCGCGAAAGCCAGGGGAGCGAACGGG